UGGGGAAUAUUGGACAAUGGGGGCAACCCUGAUCCAGCCACGCCGCGUGAGUGAUGAAGGCCUUCGGGUCGUAAAGCUCUGUGGGGAGGGACGAACGUCCCGUUGAAGAAACGGGGGUGACGGUACCUCCUUAGCAAGCACCGGCUAACUUCGUGCCAGCAGCCGCGGUAAUACGAAGGGUGCAAACGUUGCUCGGAAUCAUUGGGCGUAAAGCGCACGUAGGCGGCGCUGCAAGUCGGACGUGAAAUCCCUCGGCUCAACCGAGGACGUGCAUCCGAAACUGCAGUGCUCGAGUAUGGAAGAGGGUCGCGGAAUUCUCGGUGUAGAGGUGAAAUUCGUAGAUAUCGGGAGGAACACCAGUGGCGAAGGCGGCGACCUGGGCCAAUACUGACGCUGAGGUGCGAAAGCGUGGGGAGCAAACAG
rnacentral:rRNA from 1 species